rnacentral:rRNA from 1 species
UACGUAGGGUGCGAGCGUUAAUCGGAAUUACUGGGCGUAAAGCGUGCGCAGGCGGUUCGUGAUGUCUGGUGUGAAAGCCCCGGGCUUAACCUGGGAAUUGCAUUGGAAACUAGCGGGCUGGAGUGUGGCAGAGGGGGGUGGAAUUCCACGUGUAGCAGUGAAAUGCGCAGAUAUCAGGAGGAACACCGGUGGCGAAGGCGGGUCUCUGGGCCGAUAUCGACGCUGAGGAGCGAAAGCGUGGGGAGCGAACAGG